rnacentral:rRNA from 1 species
UAGGGAAUAUUAGAAAUGGACGAAAGUCUGAUCUAGCAACACCGCGUGUGCGAAGAAGGCCUUAGGGUCGUAAAGCACUUUUUGGAAGGAAUAGGCAGGAAUGUACUUCCAGAAUAAGUCUCGGAUAACUACGUGCCAGCAGCCGCGGUAACACGUAGGAGGCAAACGGUAUACGGAUUUAUUGGGCGUAAAGCGCGUGUAGGGGGUACUGUAAGUAGGGCGUGAAAGCUCCUGGCUCAACUGGGAGAGGCCGUUCUAAACUACAGAACUAGAGGAUGGUAGAGGGAGGUGGAAUUCCAGGUGUAGCGGUGGAAUGCGCAGAUAUCUUGAGGAACACCGGUGGCGAAGGCGGCCUCCUGGACCAUUCCUGACACUCAGACGCGAAAGCUAGGGUAGCAAACG